CCUACGGGAGGCAGCAGUGAGGAAUAUUGGUCAAUGGGCGAGAGCCUGAACCAGCCAAGUCGCGUGAGGGAGUACUGCCCUAUGGGUUGUAAACCUCUUUUGUCGGGGGGCAAAAGCCGGACGUGUCCGGCUGUGAGAGUACCCGAAGAAAAAGCAUCGGCUAACUCCGUGCCAGCAGCCGCGGUAAUACGGAGGAUGCGAGCGUUAUCCGGAUUUAUUGGGUUUAAAGGGUGCGCAGGCGGAUUUUUAAGUCAGCGGUAAAAUCGUGGGGUUCAACCCCAUCCAGCCGUUGAAACUGGGGAUCUAGAGUGUGCGAGAGGUAUGCGGAAUGCGGGGUGUAGCGGUGAAAUGCAUAGAUAUCACGCAGAACCCCGAUUGCGAAGGCAGCAUACCGGUGCACAACUGACGCUCAGGCACGAAAGCGUGGGUAUCGAACAGGAUUAGAUACCCGGGUAGUC
rnacentral:rRNA from 1 species